UACGUAGGGGGCAAGCGUUGUCCGGAUUUAUUGGGCGUAAAGAGCGUGUAGGCGGCCAUACAGGUCCGUUGUGAAAACUGGAGGCUUAACCUCCAGACGUCGAUGGAAACCGUAUGGCUAGAGUCCGGAAGAGGAGAGUGGAAUUCCUGGUGUAGCGGUGAAAUGCGCAGAUAUCGGGAAGAACACCUAUGGCGAAGGCAGCUCUCUGGGACGGUACUGACGCUGAGACGCGAAAGCGUGGGGAGCGAACAGG
rnacentral:rRNA from 1 species